rnacentral:rRNA from 1 species
AGUGAACGCUGGCGGUAGGCCUAACACAUGCGAGUCGAACGGCAGCACAGUAAGAGCUUGCUCUUACGGGUGGCGAGUGGCGGACGGGUGAGGAAUACAUCGGAAUCUACUUUUUCGUGGGGGAUAACGUAGGGAAACUUACGCUAAUACCGCAUACGACCUACGGGUGAAAGCAGGGGAUCUUCGGACCUUGCGCGAUUGAAUGAGCCGAUGUCGGAUUAGCUAGUUGGCGGGGUAAAGGCCCACCAAGGCGACGAUCCGUAGCUGGUCUGAGAGGAUAAUCAGCCACACUGGAACUGGGACACGGUCCAGACUCCUACGGGAGGCAGCAGUGGGGAAUAUUGGACAAUGGGCGCAAGCCUGAUCCAGCCAUACCGCGUGGGUGAAGAAGGCCUUCGGGUUGUAAAGCCCUUUUGUUGGGAAAGAAAAGCAGCAGGUUAAUACCCCGCUGUUCUGACGGUACCCAAAGAAUAAGCACCGGCUAACUUCGUG